rnacentral:rRNA from 1 species
UACGGAGGGGGCCAGCGUUGUUCGGAAUUAUUGGGCGUAAAGGGCGCGUAGGCGGUCGGGGUAAGUCUGACGUGAAAUCCCUUGGCUCAACCAAGGAACUGCGUCUUAAACUGCCCGGCUUGAGUCCGGGAGAGGGUGAGUGGAAUUCCCAGUGUAGCGGUGAAAUGCGUAGAUAUUGGGAGGAACACCGGUGGCGAAGGCGGCUACCUGGACCGGUACUGACGCUGAGGCGCGAAAGCUAGGGUAGCAAACAGG